GUUUGAUCCUGGCUCAGAUUGAACGCUGGCGGAAUGCUUUACACAUGCAAGUCGAACGGUAAAGGGGGCAACCCCUUGAGAGUGGCGAACGGGUGAGUAAUAUAUCGGAACGUGCCCAGUCGUGGGGGAUAACGUAGCGAAAGUUACGCUAAUACCGCAUACGAUCUACGGAUGAAAGCGGGGGACUCGCAAGAGCCUCGCGCGAUUGGAGCGGCCGAUAUCAGAUUAGGUAGUUGGUGGGGUAAAGGCUCACCAAGCCAACGAUCUGUAGCUGGUCUGAGAGGACGACCAGCCACACUGGAACUGAGACACGGUCCAGACUCCUACGGGAGGCAGCAGUGGGGAAUUUUGGACAAUGGACGCAAGUCUGAUCCAGCCAUUCCGCGUGCAGGAUGAAGGCCCUCGGGUUGUAAACUGCUUUUGUACGGAACGAAAAGGUUUCUAUUAAUACUAGGAGCUCAUGACGGUACCGUAAGAAUAAGCACCGGCUAACUACGUGCCAGCAGCCGCGGUAAUACGUAGGGUGCAAGCGUUAAUCGGAAUUACUGGGCGUAAAGCGUGCGCAGGCGGUUAUAUAAGACAGAUGUGAAAUCCCCGGGCUCAACCUGGGAACUGCAUUUGUGACUGUAUAGCUAGAGUACGGUAGAGGGGGAUGGAAUUCCGCGUGUAGCAGUGAAAUGCGUAGAUAUGCGGAGGAACACCGAUGGCGAAGGCAAUCCCCUGGACCUGUACUGACGCUCAUGCACGAAAGCGUGGGGAGCAAACAGGAUUAGAUACCCUGGUAGUCCACGCCCUAAACGAUGUCAACUGGUUGUUGGGUCUUCACUGACUCAGUAACGAAGCUAACGCGUGAAGUUGACCGCCUGGGGAGUACGGCCGCAAGGUUGAAACUCAAAGGAUUGACGGGGACCCG
rnacentral:rRNA from 1 species